ensembl:lncRNA
AUGCCCAGAGGGCGGAGUUCCUGGCGUUUCCUACCGCCUCACCGGAGAACCUGCCCUGGGUUUCGCGGCAUCCAACAGAGAAAGAGAGAGAGAGAGCAAGAAAGAGCCGUCGGAAAAGCCACGCGAGCGACCCAGAUCCCCGGAAUAAAUGGACAGAAGGACGAGGCCCUUUCGAGAUUACCAUUCGAGGAGAAGAAGGAGAGGGCAAACGAGGAAGCAAGGAAAUCUUUGCGUCGCCGAAAAUCUUUUCCUUGUCUUUUGAAAGGGGUGGAGGAGAGAAAGAAGUACCUGCUGCCGACAGAAAGGAGAACCACUGCAAUCCGAUCUGCUUGGCCGACCUUCAAGCCCUUUCCGAGCUGGUAUCUUGGAGGAAAGGGCAAUUGAGGAUAAGCCAAGACUGGUAAUGAAGAGGAGGAAUUAUCCAGGAGAAGGAUCUGGAAAGAAAGAAACAUCCCUGAGGAAAAAGAACAGGAAAAAUGCCCUGCAGAGGAAGAUUACUUCCAGUGCAACAAAUACAAGGGACAUGGCUGGACUUUUUCUUUGAGGCCUAGGAUUGAAGAUGCUGAAAAUAAAAAGAACCAAAUGUAUUAUUCAUUUUUCCUGUGGCUUUGCCCCUCUUUUUUUGUAUUAACUUUGUUAAGCAUUCAAAAUGAAAUCUGUAAUAGGGUCAGUGGACUGAUUCCUAAUUUUGGGAAGCAUCCUUUGUUGGGGUGGCCAAAUAGACAGAAAGAAGCAAGGAAGUGAAUGAAAGACUUUCUGCUAGGUAUUUAUUAUCUUUCUUUCUCACUCCCAGAUUGUCCAAAAUACAUUUUGUUGCUGCUGCUGCAUGUCUCCAGUUUCUGUUUAUGGUGAUCCCAAAUCUUGGCAAGAUUUUCUCAGAAUAUGUUUAUCAUUGCCUUCCUCUCAGUGUGACUUGUCCAAGGUCAGCCAGUAGGUUUCUGUGGCCAAACAGGAUUUGAACCCUGGUUUCCUGGAGUCCAACACUCAAACUACUGCACCACAUUAGGAUGUAUAUUUUGGUAUCUCAACAGUCCAGAGAGUGGCUAUAAUUUCUGUGUUGAAUUUCAGCAUAUUAGCUACAUAUUCUAUAACCAACAAUAUUUAUUAAUACAAUUCAGAUCUGGCAAAUUAUAACCAUGCUAUUUUUCAUAAACAUAUUAACUGUUCCAUUCAGGUCAGUGCUUUUUAUUUAUUUUUAAAUUUUCCCACCCUACUGUAAAUAAAUAUCACUUACAAUCUUUGUAAUAACAAUAAAGUUUGGUUUGCUGGAAAUUUAGGGUGGAGGUUCAAAGAUGUGGCUUCUUGUUCUUUCUUGACUCACUAUUGGUUUGGAUUGGCAUUCUUGGCAGUGCUCUGAAUUCACAUAGUGCUUUGGAUUGGACAGGCGUCAAUGCCAUCUGAUAGAGGAGCUUUUCUGAUUUUGGAUGGCCACAAAUCAUAAUUCAUGGUGUAAGUGUCUGCCUUUGUGCAUGCUUAAGUUGCAUUUUGAAUAUUCUCACAAAUAUGAGAAUGGGAGUAAUGAGCUGAUCUGAUAAUGGGAGUGUCCAUCAUAACCUUUCUUUUAGAGAUGCUGGCAGGGAUUUAAAACCAGUUUUCUCUGUUAAGUUUUGACAACCUUUCUGUUAUAUCACACAGUCAAUUUUUCAGAGUGUUCAGGAGUGUAUCUAUGUUUCAAAGAUAACUGAGGAGUAAGAAUUUGGCAAAGAACAUGAGGACAGAAUGAGGAGAAAGUCCUUAGGGCUGGGUCCAUACAUUUUGAAAGAAAUGGCACAAUAUAUAUGACCUAAAAUAUGACCAACCCAUCAUGAAUCUCAAUAAUAUUUUCCCUGGAGACACUAGUUCAAGUUCCUUCAAGUUGGAAACUCACCAACAGCUGCAAGUUCAGCCCAACUGUUCUGCCCUCCUCUGCCUUCUUCACUGAUCCCACUUGUCUCAUUUACUCACUUCCAGUGACCUUUGAGAUGUUCUGGGAAAACUCAUUACAGAACUUUAUCCUCCUUAAGAUGCAUUUAAACUGUAGAAUUAAUGCAGUUAGCUCAAUGCUAUGUAAUGUUGGGAUUUGUGUUGAUGAGGCACUACCACUCUGGCAGGAAAGGUUAAAGACUUCAUAAAACCACAAUUCCCAUGAUUCCCUAGCACUGAGCCAGGACAAUUAAAGUGGAGUCAAAUUGCAUUAAUAGAUGCACCCUAGUCAAUUCUUCAUUGACCAUCUAAUUCAGAUGGAACUGCAUUAUAUGGUCAGUGUAUACCCAUAUAAUACACUCCAACACGUUCAAACUGUAAAGCUCAGGAGUUGACCUUUAUCCAACUGUUCAUAGCAAUGGUUCAAGAGCAUCCAUGGGGAGAAUAAAAAAAACAACAGAAAAUUCAGGCUACUCAGAAGUAAAUCGUUCAUGUAUUUAUUUCCACCACUGGUGGCUUAUGGGAGUGAUAACCAUUUAGGGAAAGGGAUUUCCAGUCCAGUCCAGUCCAGUCCAGUCCAGUCCAGUCCAGUCCAGUCACUCAUUUCCCACAGAAUCUAAGUAGUUGCCUCCAAAAAGUUCACAAAAGAAAAAUCAGAUGUAGCCAACAUUUUCUCACUCCCCUUCAGACUAUAAUUCACAUACAUACCUUCUCUCAAAGAGUGAAGAAAGGAUACUUCUUUGCACUACAGAUCUCAGACAUCCCAAUAAUUACUAACCAUGCUGUCUGGUGGAUUCUUGAACUAUAAUUCAAACAAGUAACAAAUCCCAAAUAUAGUGUGCAAGAGAAACACUACACAAAUAAAGCACUAUAUUUCCACCUUAACUCUCAUGGUUCUAUUCUAUUAUAUGGAAAUCUGGGAUUUGGAGUUUGGGAAUCCUUAGAUAAACAUUAUUUUUGGUAUUGUAGGAACAAGCAGGAGAAAUAGCUCUGAUCGCUGAAUUUCUUACAAACCUUUGCUCACUUUUCCUGCCUUGGUUGUCACCAAUUGCUUUGUUUUUAUCUGUGUCUUGAAGGGUGCAACAACAUCAUAGAAUGCAGUUUGACACCACUUUAACUGCCAUGGAGCCAUACUAUGAAAUCCAGGGAGCUGUAGUUUUGGUGAGGCACCAGCACUCUUUGGCAGAGAAGUGAGCUAUUAAUUCCAUGGCACUGAGCCAUGGCAGUGAAAGUGGUGACAAAUAGCAUUAAUCCUACAGUGUAGAUCAGUGGUUCUCUAAUCCAGAUAUAUUGUGUACAGUAUAUGGCUCUUUCCCUCUAUGCAUAUCACAAACACAAACACCUGAAUGGAAAGAGCCAAGUAGCUAACAACAACAACAUAAAAAAUGGAAUUGCUUGGCUUUUUCCAUCCAGGUACCUGAUAUAUAGAUAUGUAUAGCUAGUUCUUUUCAUUCAUAUAUAUACCAGUGGUUCCCAACCUGUCUGUCCCCAGAUGUAUGAAACUGGAUUUUAUGGCAUUGUAGAUGGGAUCUGAGUCUCCUUUUGAGGGAGAAAAAAGAGGAUAUAAAGGAUAUUGUUAAUUACUUAUUUCCAUAUUAAUAUCAAGUCAACACUGAGUUUAUGGCAUGAUAUAGUAUGAGGUAUACAUUUCCUUUUAAUUGUGGUACUUCAACAUUCAUAUCAAGUUAUAUCAAGUCAAAAAAGAGUUUGUGGGAAGGUAUGGUAUGGUAUGGAUUAUAGUAGUAGGCCCCAUCUAUACUGCCAUUAUAAUGCAGACUGAACUGCAAUACGCGGUAUGGUGGUCAGUGCAGACUCAUACAACACCAUGUAACAAAAUUUGAAAAAAAUUGUUUCUGUUUUGAAAGUGUUAUUUAUUUACUGUUUUGUUUAUUUACGGUAUUUAUAUACCACUUUUCUCACCCCUGGGGGGAGUUAAAGAGGUAUACAACAUAAUAGCGGCAAAAUUCAAUGCUAAACAUACAUGUAAAAACUAAAUCAUAAUAUCUAAACAAUAACAUAUAACUAUGAGUUAAAAUCAUUAAGACCAUUAAAACAAGACAUAAACAGACAUAAGCAACAUUUAAACAUUAAGACUUAGAAUUAAAACAUCCUAAUAUAAACAUUAAAAUCACAUGAUCCAACUUUACAUUACUGGCCAAAGGCUUGGUCCCACAGCCAUGUCUUUGUUUUCUCUCUGAAGGCCAAGAGGGACAGC